UGUUAUUUGUAAGUUUCCAGCCGCCAUUUUUGGAAUUUUGAAGCGAUCAGAAGAAAGAAAUCUGUGAUUUAUUUGCCACAAAAGCAUGUAUUGCUCAACUCAUGGACUGCAGUUUUUGGCAAUUUUCAACAAUGGAAGAAAACUUGAAACAGAAACCAAGAUACAGAUAUCAGCAGUUAAUGUACAGAUGCCCUUAAACAUGUUAAAGUGUUUGAUGAAGUAAAGAGCAAGAUACUAUCCCAUUUAGCAGCGAUACUGCAUGACUUUAAUUCCCAGACAAUAUGACAAAGAAUACCGAUUGGCAUGAUUGGACACCAAUAUAUAGUUCACACAUGAGAACUGAGAAGAUGUUUUUAGGGCAGACUUCAUACAUGUACAGGAGCUUCUUUGGAGGUUUGAAAA